CUUGGGAGAGAAAGGAGUGAAAUGGGUGCAGCUGUGGUGCACAAGUUCUUGGGGCAGCGCGCCGUGUAGCAGCCAUCCCUCCCUGCCUGAGGACAAGUGGAAAGAGUUGGGCAGCCUAUGGCAAGAGAGAAAGAUCCUCGUUUCUGCUCUUUCCAAGUCUGCAAGAAGAUAGUUUGUCUCUUUAUGUAAACAUCAUAUCAGAUGUAUCUUUAAAAAAACAAAAAACCUUCGAAUUAUACUUAGAAAAUAGCCUCAUUGCUUCCUUACAAUAUUCCUAAUUUGAAACUAAUAAGGACUGUACCCUCCAAAAUGAUUAACAGUUGUUAAAUAUAGUGGGAUCCCCUCCUAUAAUCCCACAAUUGGAAGGCAGAGGCAGGAAGAUCAUGAGGUUGAGGCCAGCCUGAGCUACACAGUAAGUUCCAGGUCAGCUUGGAAUACACAGUGAGACUCUAUCUCAAAGACACAAAGGAGAAACAAAGCAGUUACUCAACUCAACACAGACAAAGAACUGCUGAGUCUGCAUGGCAGCCAGCAGCUCAGCUCACCGCGAGGCCGGGCCAAGGCACAAAGUACAGCCAGGCUGGACACUGCUCUCCCACAUUUAGUUGCUAUAGCAAAAAAAGAGGGGAAGAAAAAAAAGGAAAAAAAGAAAAAGAAAAAAACAACCCGAUACAAGCUAGCCAGAUUCAAACGCAGGGGAAGCUAUCCUCAAAGAGCACUAUCC
rnacentral:lncRNA from 1 species